rnacentral:snoRNA from 1 species
GUGCAAACUCAAUCACUAAUGCUGUUGAGCAAAAGCAAGGGAAACCAGGUUUGCAAAGUAAUUAUGGUAGAAAUGUAUUAGCCUCAGGAUCUACUGGAGUGGUCCAUUCUAUCCUAAUACAGUA